GAACAAUCAUAUUCUGGAAACAAUGUUUCACACUGGCAUCAUAAUAAAACGCAACGCUAAUUGCCAUCGUUCUACAGCACAUAGCUACAAAAGAUAACUAUCACUACUUCUCUAAAACCAAUAAACACUACAAUGAAUAGUAAUAAGGAUAGACAAUUGAAUAACAAGACUUGAUCCAAGAUUGCAGUGUGUUCUUUUCCACUUCUUGUUUCAAUAAAUGGUAAAAUCUUUGCAGGCAAUGGCAAGUGGUUUCGACAAAUUUGGCAGGAAUUAUAGCAACCUACUCAAGAAGCUUAUUGCAAGUGCUCACCCCAACAGCAGCAGCAAGAUGCCAACCAGCAUGCAAGAAAGGUGUUUCAGGAAAGACAUCAUCAGCUAUGAAAAGAGCACCCCCUAGCAACGAUGACAUUUUGUGCACAUUGUGACUCAUCCUUAGAUCCGGAUCUUGAAGUGCUCUUUUGGCAAAUGCAACCUCCAUCAUUCCAGUGUGCACAGCAGAAACCAUCAGAGGUUGGAUCGGUAGGAGGACUGCAGACGCUGCCAUCAGCAAUUUGGGAUUCUCAUUUCUAAGUGCCCUUGAUAGACACACUGUUGCUGUUGCUAUCAUUGAGUAGUCAGCCCAUCUCAUAUAGCGCCUUAUUUUGCCUCUCGAAGCAUGGUACAAACUGGAGAUAAUUCCAACUCCAAUCAAUGAAUUGGCAUAAAGUUUGCAAUGAAG
rnacentral:misc_RNA from 1 species